AAACCUGCCGCCGCUCGCCGCCUCUUUGUCUGCUCCGGGACUUGGAACAAAAGGGGGAACUCUGAUGAACUCUCUCCUCCCCUCUUCCCCGGACGCCCGGGUAUCUCCCUCUCGCAACUUUGCCGCCGCGACUUUCUCCGCUGUCAGGCCACACAAAAGUGUCCGAGCGCCUCGCGGACAGCAACGAGGGAAAGGUCUCCAAAAAGUGCGACCAAGUGGGGAAGAAGGCGUGAUUACCACUGUCAGCGUCUAGAACGCAUCAUGAGUACGCUGAGUUCCUCUGUACUGCAUUGUUCUUAAGGAUCAGUGAUCUUUAUGGACGUACAAUACAACAUCGAGUCAUUCCUGGAUGAAAAGUUAUCAAACUUCGUCCUUUGGAGUUACUUAAAAGUUAAGAUGUUGGAAUUUUUGAUAAUGCCUUCCCUAUGUGGAUUACUACAAUUUGAUCCCUGGGAAUUCUCCACCUUAAAGAAGUACUCUCAGGGGACUACAGAAGCGUCCACACCAUGCAUGUUCAGAUGAGAAAGCUGAGGUACAGGCUGUGAAACUCCCCCCUGGUUGCACAGAGUGCUGGAACCCUGUCCAGUUGUGUCUCCUUGUGCUCGGCCACUGAUCCCAGGCACGUAACACUGCAGUGCUGAUCUUGGGGGACCUGUAGAGAACAACAUCAAGUGCAGGAAUGCCACGUUCCCAGGAGAUGUGCCAUCUGACUGUAAGUUGCAGAUGUAUGCCUAGCUCGACUGCUUGAGAAAGUUGCCCAGUUUUACAGCCAUUGAUUUAUCUGUAUGUAUGUGGCGUCCUAAACAUGGCUAUAUUAAUUAUUUUAAAGUUUCCUCUAAAAGUCUGCCUCAUGGCUUGAAUGGAGAUGUGGUCAUUUGUGCUAAUUGCAUUUUAGAGUCUCUUAUGUAUUGGUGACAAUAAGCUAAUGUUUACAACUUUUGUUCACAUCAGGUACCAUUAGGCGCUUAAUUAUGUGACAUUGUGCUGCCUAGCUGUACUUUGCAAAUACCAAAAAGCAUCACUCUCUUCCCCCCCAGUGCUGUGCAUGUCUGGGCCACCCUGACGUGGCAUAGUUGCAGCUUCUCAUCAAGAUCACAGGUGUGCCCCCAUGACCCUUGCUACCUAACCCCAGGAUCUUAGCUUGAGCGUGCUCUGCCUGACUCCCAGGGGGUGAUUUGAAACAGAGAUAGUGUUGCAGUGGGAGCUUUGCCAUGAGGCUUCUGAGAAUGAGGCAAAUCAGGAGCAGUGUGACCUGUUCAUGUCCAGGUUCCCAGACAGCUUGGGACAGUUUACCUUUUGAAAAGAGAAGCCUUCAGGAGAAAAAAAAAAGCUAAUGACCUAUAAGCAGAGAGUCUCAGAGCCUGGACACUCAGACGUCCCCUUGCUUUGCAGAGGAUGAUGCUGAGGCCCGAACAAGGAAGGGAGGCACACAAAGAAAGGCUACCCCAAAGCUGGGCUCUGAGUUCAAGAAAAACCAAGCCCUCCUUUCCAAUCUUUCUUCUUAGCCUUUUGAUCUAAGGAAAAAAUUGCAUAGUCUAAUAUGCAGUAUCUUUCCAUACUUGGAAAGAUUAAUCUGUCAGAUUAAUGUUAGGAGGGUUGGAGGCGUCUUAGAAUCUCAUCGUGGGGUGAAUUUUACUGUGACGCAGGAUCUCCCAAUGAGCUGGUGUUCUGUCAGGACCGAAUUGCCAUCACUCCUUCCCUUCUAACUAAGAAUGUGAACAGCCCCAUCGUGCGGGCUGCUGAUUGACAUCAAGUAACUCUGUAGUCAUGGCUCUAGCUAAAAAUGUGAAAGAAACUAGGUCUUUUCAACCCAAAGGUUCUCUUCUGUACAGUUAAUUAAAGACAUUUUCAGAAGACAUUUGGAUUAUGGGAAAGCAAUGAUAGCACGUUAUGACAUUUAUUUCAUUCCUUACCCUAAGAAUCUCAGUAAUUGGUUCACCCAUUCAAAACCGUUAUGUUAUCUGAGGGUCAAGACUCCCGAACCCCCGUUGGAACUCACCUGAUUUAUCUAAUUGGCAUAUUCUUUGAAAAACAACUCUAGACACAGGUUGUUUUGAUUCCUGAAGGUACCAUUCACUUGUUUUAAGACAAUUUAAUGUAAAACGUAUCUAAUUUCAGUGACAAUCUUUAGGAAGCUUUAGCCAGGGGCUUCCAUUUUAUUUACACCAUGGUGUUAAAGAACAGAUUUUAGAAAUUUAAUUAAAAUUCCACACAAACUUUGGAAAUGCUGGGCAGCUCAACUUACCUAUUGUUGAGGUUGUCACUUUGCAGCUGAAGAAACUAAGGCUUAGAAAAAGAUGAUAGCUCAGCUCUGAUCGUACAACAAAUACAGAGAUAGAUAGUGGCAGGAUGACUUCCAGAAUGCAGAGCUUUUGACUUCCAGUCCACUGGUCUUCCUCCUGGGCGAGGCUAUUGUAUGCAGUUGGAGGUGUUUCAUUCUGUGCGGUGUAAUUGCGAUACAGGGGAAACAGAAGGUUGUAUUUGUUGCCUUCUAAGAACUCAUACCCU
rnacentral:lncRNA from 1 species